UACGGAGGGAACUAGCGUUGUUCGGAAUUACUGGGCGUAAAGCGCACGUAGGCGGAUUUGUAAGUCAGGGGUGAAAUCCCGGGGCUCAACCCCGGAACUGCCUUUGAUACUGCGAAUCUCGAGUCCGGAAGAGGUGAGUGGAAUUCCUAGUGUAGAGGUGAAAUUCGUAGAUAUUAGGAAGAACACCAGUGGCGAAGGCGGCUCACUGGUCCGGUACUGACGCUGAGGUGCGAAAGCGUGGGGAGCAAACAGG
rnacentral:rRNA from 1 species